GGCUCCCUACCCCGCCAGCUUCAUGCUCUCCCAGCUCGCCGGCAGCUACGCUUUCGUGCUCUUCGACAAGUCCACAUCCUCCCUCUUCGUCGCAUCCGUAAGCUCGAUCAUGUCUAGGAAUACAUUUCUACAGUAGCAGGGAGGUUUAUCGUGGCCGUGCUUAUUUCUUGCUAAUUUUGUUGGUCGAUCAGGACCCGGAGGGCAAGGUACAGCUCUUCUGGGGAAUCACCGCCGACGGCUGCGUCGCCUUCUCCGACGACAUCGACCUGCUGAAAGGAUCUUGCGGCAAAUCACUGGCGCCUUUCCCGCAAGGCUGCUUCUACUGGAACGCCCUUGGAGGCCUCAAGUCGUACGAGAAUCCCAAGAACAAGGUGACCGCUGUGCCUGCAGAUGAGGAGGAAAUCUGUGGUACAACCUUCAUGGUAAGUAGUGGCACGUUGAUGAUUAUUACUUACUACUCAGCUGGGAAGGAAUGAAAAUGAUAGUCACGAGAACUUGGCUAAACCUAUCUGAAAUUCUUCCUUGUGCAGGUGGAAGGAUCUACCGUUCUCGCGGCACUUCAGUAGGAGAUUCUCUCGUCUCCGUCGCUGGGCAAAGCAGGCAAC
rnacentral:lncRNA from 1 species